rnacentral:rRNA from 1 species
UACGUAUGGUGCAAGCGUUAUCCGGAUUUACUGGGUGUAAAGGGAGCGUAGGUGGUUUGAUAAGUCAGAUGUGAAAACCCGGGGCUCAACCCCGGGACUGCAUUUGAAACUAUUGAACUGGAGUGCAGGAGAGGUAAGUGGAAUUCCUAGUGUAGCGGUGAAAUGCGUAGAUAUUAGGAGGAACACCAGUGGCGAAGGCGGCUUACUGGACUGUAACUGACACUGAGGCUCGAAAGCGUGGGGAGCAAACAGG